rnacentral:rRNA from 1 species
UACGAAGGGGACUAGCGUUGUUCGGAUUUACUGGGCGUAAAGCGCGCGUAGGCGGAUCGCUAAGUCAGGGGUGAAAUCCUGGAGCUCAACUCCAGAACUGCCUUUGAUACUGAGAAGCUUGAGUCCGGGAGAGGUGAGUGGAACUGCGAGUGUAGAGGUGAAAUUCGUAGAUAUUCGCAAAGAACACCAGUGGCGAAGGGCGGCUCACUGGCCCGGUACUGACGCUGAGGUGGCGAAAAGCGUGGGGAGCAACAGG